CUUUUUGUGCAUAAUGUAUAUAUAGGGGGGUGGUAGUACUCUUGGGGUAGAGAGGCAUGUGCUGGGAUGGCAUGCCAAGGCAUGUGCUGGGAUGGCAUGCCUUGGUGUGUGCUGGGAUGGCAUGCCAAGGACAAGCAUGUGCUAGGAAGGCAUGCCAAGGCCAAGCCAAGGCCAAGGCAAGCACAUGCAUUGUGAGUUAGUUGAGACGGUUGUCUUUACCCCAAGAGUGCCCAAGGGAGAGGAAAGAGGUGUCAAACGCAUGCUGAGCCCCACUUCGGUAGUUUGGCACCCCCAUAGGCAUUUAGGCAAGUGUGCCUAUGGGGAAGGUCGGUUGAGCUUGUCAGCCAUGUUGGGUACUAUUGUUUGGAUGAGAUGAUGGCACACGCAUGCUUGCUUUAAGGUAACGUUCAGGCGGCACAGCCAGCCUGCAAUUGCUAGUUCAAGCGGGUGGAAUCUGCCUAUAGGGGUGUUGCUUGCUUGCUUGCUGUGGAAUUGGGCACGCCCAAUAUGUAUCAUCGACCCACGUAGUUCCUGCAUGGCCCCAUAGGUAUUCAGGCAAGCGUGCCUAUGGGUAAAGUCGGUUGAGCUUGUCAGCCAUGUUGGGUAUUAUUGUCUGGACGAGAUGAUGGCACAAGGAUGCUUGCUUUAAGGUAACAUUCCGGCAGCACAGCCAGCCCGCAAUUGCUAGUUCAAGCGGGUGGAAUCUGCCUAUAGGGGUGUUGCUUGCUUGCUGUGGAUUUGGGACACGCCCAAUAUCUAUCAUCGACCCAACGAACUGCUCAACAUGGGUUGCUGAGGGCUAUUUUUGGCACUGAUGGUUCACUUGUUUGCUUGGCUCUGAUAAACGUUCAGAUGUCAUGAUGCUUGGGAUCCAAUAAAUUUAUGUGGGAAGCUGAGAGCUGGAACCCAAUGUCAUUCACCAGACGGCUUAGCUUCGUCAGUGUGUAUAAUAUGUCAUUGAACCCCAAUCCUUGAUGCCAACCUGAUUAAGACUUUUGGACCGCAAUUAUCAUGGCUAUCGAAAACUGAGUAGGAGUCAUGGAAUAAGUGAACAAUUUGUAGCUUUUAUAGCUGUCAGCUUUCGCAUCGCCCGGUGUGUUUUGGGAAUCGCUUUGUGCGUUUGGUUGCCUGCCGUGCCUCUUGGCAUACGGUGGGUGCCACUUGCCGGGUGGUUUUCGGAAACAUCCACCGUAAAGGUGCAUGAGUGGUGUUUGGUUUGUUACGGGUGGUUGGCUCUUUGCUUGCGCAACAACUUCCACCCGACUUACCUCUUCAGAUGUUUGCCUAGGCUUGUAUAGCCUAAGCAGAUUGUGGGUUUCCUGUGUUGCCUACCUACGUCACGGAAUUGUCCUGAUUGAUCAAAGUUGCUUUCGUCUUGUGCCGUCUUGAUGGCAUAAGAUGAACCAUGAAGCUGUCUCUUUGCACCGCAUUGUUAAUGCAUGCGUUGAUGUUGUGGCCCAUUGAGCAUUGCUUGGUACCUUGGAUACGGAACCUUAUGUGGGCAUGGGUCCUUGGGGAUCCUUGUUCUGCCCUCGUUUAGCGUUCGCGCUUCUCUUAGAAUGACUGCCUAGCCGGAAUGGCAACCCAUUGCGGAUGGGCAUU
rnacentral:misc_RNA from 1 species